CAAGCGAGAGGAAGAGAAGUGAGUGUGUAGAUAUUGGCUCUUGUGUCAAUUUUUUCUACUUUUUUUGACUUGUUCCUUGUUCCCUACUCGAUAUCAAUUUGUGUGCUAAUGCCGUAAGCGUUUUCACUUGAAAGAUUGCAAUGCCGACUAAUAACAAUUUUAAUGCAGAUGGCCUUAUGGCACAUAUUAAAUGCUAAUUCGCAUACGUCGCACGCCCGAAGCUUAAAGCAAAAAAGGCCAGAGCAGUUGAGAAUGGGGAAACACACACACACACAUAUGCACACACACACACAGACACACUCUACAUGACAUUUACAAGUUAUUAUUAUGCAAAGGACACGCGAGCUAUGGAUGCCAGGAUAUAACCAGGACUUGCUCUCGUGUUUCAAAAUCUGCUACGGUGUUGGCAAAAUUUGCAUUUAUUCAUGGCAUAAAUAAAGCUUACUCGCACCCCAUUCCCCCAAACACCCCCUCCCAAAAAAAAAGGGAAGGGCCAUUGAUAUGGGUAUGAGAGUGAUGGAAAACUGAAACUUA